UGACCCCGAGCUAAUCUCCAAAAACCGUCUCAGUUCGGAUUGCACUCUGCAACUCGGGUGCAUGAAGUUGGAAUCGCUAGUAAUCGUGGAUCAGCAUGCCACGGUGAAUACGUUCCCGGGCCUUGUACACACCGCCCGUCGCACCAUGGGAGUUGGUUUUACCCGAAACCGGUGUGCUAACCUUCGGGAGGCAGCCGACCACGGUAGGGUCAGCGACUGGGGUGAAGUCGUAACAAGGU
rnacentral:rRNA from 1 species